rnacentral:rRNA from 1 species
GACGAACGCUGGCGGCGUGCUUAACACAUGCAAGUCGAACGGAAAGGCCCUGCUUUUGUGGGGUGCUCGAGUGGCGAACGGGUGAGUAACACGUGAGUAACCUGCCCUUGACUUUGGGAUAACUUCAGGAAACUGGGGCUAAUACCGGAUAGGAGCUCCUGCUGCAUGGUGGGGGUUGGAAAGUUUCGGCGGUUGGGGAUGGACUCGCGGCUUAUCAGCUUGUUGGUGGGGUAGUGGCUUACCAAGGCUUUGACGGGUAGCCGGCCUGAGAGGGUGACCGGGCACCAUGGGACUGAGAAACGGCCCAGAAUCCUACGGGAGGCAACAGUGGGGAAUAUUGCACAAAGGGGGGGAGCCUGAUGGAACAACGCCGGGUGCGGGAUGACGGCCUUCGGGUUGUAAACCGCUUUCGCCUGUUACGAAGCGUGAGUGACGGUAAUUGGUAAAGAAGCCCCGGCUAACUACGUG